rnacentral:tRNA from 1 species
GGGCCUAUAGCCAAGCCUGGAUAUGGCGUCGGACUUCUAAUCCGAAGAUCGCAGGUUCGAAUCCUGCUAGGCCCG